AUGAGAGAAUGCUAAGGUUGUAUAGCUUGCUAAAAAUAACUUUAACGAACAAAAGAUGAUAUCCUGAUAGAGAGCCUAACAAUCGCAUAGGUGACGUUUCUUGGAAGAUAAUUCAUAUAAUGAAACAACUUUUGAAGAGAUUUUCUCUCGAUAUUUUUUCAAUGUACAAUGAUAAUCCAUGCUUUUCUUAGUACCUUUAUGAUUUUGAUAGACCUUUUCAAAAGUGCCAUUUCAACGGUUGAUAAGUGCAGGAUGAAUCACUUAGUACGAUAUUUUAUGUUGAUAAAAGUACGAGUGAGGAAAUGGCAUCAUACUCAUCUGAUGCUCCCGAAAAUCAUGAUAUCUUAGAUGGACGAUUAUCAAAUCGCCACUUUAACCACUGGGGAAUGGGAAGCAGCUCUUUGAAAAGUACAAAGCAGCGAAAUAUUUCUGGCCAUAGACAAUAUUUUCAAUAUCCUUAUGUGACUUAUCUGUUCAUGGUACAAACUACAAAGUACGAACACUGGUAGAAAAGUGAUACAUUGUGUUAAUCAUGUAGCAUAAGAUGGUGGAUGGUUAGUAAUGAGCCAAUGACACAUACUCUUGGGUUUGAUUUUGCAAAUGUAUUAAAGGAAGCAAUAGAAAAGUAGUCAUUUCAGUAAUAGGCAAGUGCAAUAUAUAUGGUGUCAAAAAAUAUGAAAAAUCGAUUGAGCAAUCGAACCAAAUCUUAUCGAACCGAUUUAAUAAA